rnacentral:misc_RNA from 1 species
CCGAGUGAGGGCCCUCUGGGUCCAACCUCCCACCCGUGUUUAUUUACCUUGUUGCUUCGGCGGGCCCGCCUUAACUGGCCGCCGGGGGGCUCACGCCCCCGGGCCCGCGCCCGCCGAAGACACCCUCGAACUCUGUCUGAAGAUUGUAGUCUGAGUGAAAAUAUAAAUUAUUUA